AUGGUUUGCUUCUUUUGUGGAUACACGAUACAGUGUUGUUGUUCCAAUAAUUGGUGUUCAGGGAUUUCAAUGGGCAAUAGAUAAUGACAUGUGGCAAGCUAGAGUUGAUAGCAUUAAGCAUUUAUUUGAAGAAGCAAGAAUUGAUUCAGGGAAGAGUGAAAUAGAUGCAGAGGUUGUGAAAAAGGUUUGGGACAAGAUAGCACCUGCUACGGCUUCACAGUUUGAUGCUCCCUACUCAGUUCCUCUGAUUGCACCACGUCCACUCCUCCUCCUAAAUGGUAAAACCAAUCAUAUUUCUUAUUGAGUGCUUCUGGUUCGUCCAAU